UACGAAGGGGGCUAGCGUUGCUCGGAAUGACUGGGCGUAAAGGGCGCGUAGGCGGUUCGUACAGUCAGACGUGAAAUUCCCGGGCUCAACCUGGGGACUGCGUUUGAUACGUACGGGCUUGAGUUCGGAAGAGGGUCGUGGAAUUCCCAGUGUAGAGGUGAAAUUCGUAGAUAUUGGGAAGAACACCGGUGGCGAAGGCGGCGACCUGGUCCGAUACUGACGCUGAGGCGCGAAAGCGUGGGGAGCAAACAGG
rnacentral:rRNA from 1 species